UACCUGUAACGGGUCCAAAUUUCAGAAGAUAGGCCGUAAUCUCACAUGCGCCUCCCAAGCAUCUUACUCUAAUAGGAGCCCAGUUCGAGUCCGGUGGUGGUCGUUUUCUCACUCGCUUGGGUAACCAGCGAUGCUGAGCGGCCCUAAGCAAUGAAUACAAUCAGACGAGGGAAGCAAUUCUGCAGUCGGGUAUUCACCAUUGGACGGCGGCGCUGGAUUACUCUAACUAGGGUUGGGAAGUGUGAGCGAGGUGGCUGUUCCACUGAUUUUU
rnacentral:SRP_RNA from 1 species